rnacentral:rRNA from 1 species
GUGGGGAAUAUUGGACAAUGGGCGAAAGCCUGAUCCAGCAAUGCCGCGUGAGUGAUGAAGGCCCUAGGGUUGUAAAGCUCUUUUACCCGGGAUGAUAAUGACAGUACCGGGAGAAUAAGCUCCGGCUAACUUCGUGCCAGCAGCCGCGGUAAUACGAGGGGAGCUAGCGUUGUUCGGAAUUACUGGGCGUAAAGCGCGCGUAGGCGGUUUGUUAAGUCAGAGGUGAAAGCCCGGGGCUCAACCCCGGAAUUGCCUUUGAAACUGGAAAACUAGAAUCUUGGAGAGGUCAGUGGAAUUCCGAGUGUAGAGGUGAAAUUCGUAGAUAUUCGGAAGAACACCAGUGGCGAAGGCGACUGACUGGACAAGUAUUGACGCUGAGGUGCGAAAGCGUGGGGAGCAAACAGGAUUAGAUACCCCGGUAGUCC